AUCCAGCUGAUGAGUUCCAAUCAGGACUAAACGAGCAUCCUGGAU
rnacentral:hammerhead_ribozyme from 1 species